rnacentral:misc_RNA from 1 species
GAUGAAGAACGUAGUGAAAUGCGAUAAGUAAUGUGAAUUGCAGAAUUCAGUGAAUCAUCGAAUCUUUGAACGCACCUUGCGCCCCUUGGUUAUUCCAAAGGGCAUGCCUGUUUGAGUAUCAUGAACACCUCAACUCUUGUGGUUUCCCACAAUGAGCUUGGACUGUGGAGGUUUUGUUGGCCCUGUGGUCAGCUCCUCUCAAAUGGAUCAGCUUACCGGUGUUUGGUGGCAUUACGGGUGUGAUAACUAUCUACGCUCGUGGUCGUCUCCAAAUAACCUCCAGUGAUGGAGGUUCGCUGGAGCUUAUAAAUGUCUCUCCCCAGUGAAGACAGCCCUUGAACGUUCGAUCUCAAAUCAGGUAGGACUACCCGCUGAACUUAAGCAUAUCAAUAAGCGGAGGA